rnacentral:tRNA from 1 species
GGGGUUGUGGCUCAGUGGUAGAGCGCUUGCUUAGCAUGUGUGAGGCCCUGGGUUCAAUUCUCAACACCA